CAGUACUUUGUUAUAGGGGAUUCUUCUGAAAAAAAAGAAGACCGAAAUCGGACGCAUUUUCUAUUGGAAUUUUGUAUAUGUGCCCAAUAAGGUAUUCAACCUCAGAACCCAAAACCGCUUUCAAAAAAAUUCUUCAAAGCUUUUGUGGCUGGUAAGAGGUCAUCAAAAACCGAAAACCUGCACUUUUCUUACAAAAAUUUCUCCAGUUACACGAGCCGUGCA